rnacentral:rRNA from 1 species
UGAUAGUAACUGAUGCAGGUAGUGACGGUAUUCAACCAGAAAGGCACGGCUAACUACGUGCCAGCAGCCGCGGUAAUAAGUAGGUGGCAAGCGUUGUCCGGAUUUAUUGGGAGUAAAGCGAGCGCAGGCGGUUUUCUAAGUCUGAUGUGAAAGCCUUCGGCUCAACCGAAGAAGUGCAUCGGAAACUGGGAAACUUGAGUGCAGAAGAGGACAGUGGAACUCCAUGUGUAGCGGUGAAAUGCGUAGAUAUAUGGAAGAACACCAGUGGCGAAGGCGGCUGUCUGGUCUGUAACUGACGCUGAGGCUCGAAAGCAUGGGUAGCAAACAGGAUUAGAUACCCUGGUAGUCCAUGCCGUAAACGAUGAGUGCUAGGUGUUGGAGGGUUUCCGCCCUUCAGUGCCGCAGCUAACGCAUUAAGCACUCCGCCUGGGGAGUACGACCGCAAGGUUGAAACUCAAAGGAAUUGACGGGGGCCCGCACAAGCGGUGGAGCAUGUGGUUUAAUUCGAAGCAACGCGAAGAACCUUACCAGGUCUUGACAUCCUUUGACCACUCUAGAGAUAGAGCUUUCCCUUCGGGGACAAAGUGACAGGUGGUGCAUGGUUGUCGUCAGCUCGUGUCGUGAGAUGUUGGGUUAAGUCCCGCAACGAGCGCAACCCUUAUUACUAGUUGCCAGCAUUAAGUUGGGCACUCUAGUGAGACUGCCGGUGACAAACCGGAGGAAGGUGGGGACGACGUCAAAUCAUCAUGCCCCUUAUGACCUGGGCUACACACGUGCUACAAUGGAUGGUACAACGAGUUGCGAGACCGCGAGGUUUAGCUAAUCUCUUAAAACCAUUCUCAGUUCGGAUUGUAGGCUGCAACUCGCCUACAUGAAGCCGGAAUCGCUAGUAAUCGCGGAUCAGCAUGCCGCGGUGAAUACGUUCCCGGGCCUUGUACACACCGCCCGUCAACACCAUGAGAGUUUGUAACACCCAAAGCCGGUGAGGUAACCCUUCGGGGAGCCAGCCGUCUAAGG